UACGGAGGAUGCGAGCGUUAUCCGGAUUUAUUGGGUUUAAAGGGUGCGUAGGCGGACUGUCAAGUCAGCGAUAAAAUUGAGAGGCUCAACCUCUUCCCGCCGUUGAAACUGGUGGUCUUGAGUGGAUGAGAAGUACGCGGAAUGCGUGGUGUAGCGGUGAAAUGCAUAGAUAUCACGCAGAACUCCGAUUGCGAAGGCAGCGUACCGGCAUCCAACUGACGUUGAGGCACGAAAGCGUGGGGAUCAAACAGG
rnacentral:rRNA from 1 species